rnacentral:lncRNA from 1 species
CUCCUGCAUCUCAAGAAUUCAAAAAAAAGCUUUUGAAAACAGACACAAAAAACUGCGCUUGGACCUGAGAAGUUAGUUAAAAAUCAAUUUCCUGUGGAAGUUGGAAAAUACCAGCACAUGAUGUUCAAUAUGCUUUCAAAGGUUCUUGAAAAGCAGGACUUGUUUUAGCAUUAAACAAGCAACCACAAAGUAAUAUUGCAAUCAAGCAGUUAGAAACAAUUAUAGAGUUUGAGGACUUUAACAAAAGUUUAGUGGUUGAUUGUGUUAGACUUGAUUUGGUUAAACAAUUCAGUUUUUUAGGUGCCGAAGAUUUUAAACAACUGAUAAGAUUGGUCAUGAAUAGAUUAUUUACAAAUACCCUGGUUGACACAGUUCAACUUAAAAGGUUCUGGCGGAAAGACUGGUUUACAUUCAACCAAACUAUAUGAUGUAUUAGAAGAAGUUGUAAAAAGAAGGUUUGAAAAGGUUUCAAAUGCUGAAACUAAAUAGCAAAUUGGACCUUUUUGUAAAAAUGCUCC